GAGGCAGCAGUGGGGAAUAUUGGACAAUGGAGGAAACUCUGAUCCAGCAAUUCUGUGUGCACGAUGAAGGUUUUCGGAUCGUAAAGUGCUUUCAGUAGGGAAGAAGAAAGUGACGGUACCUACAGAAGAAGCGACGGCUAAAUACGUGCCAGCAGCCGCGGUAAUACGUAUGUCGCAAGCGUUAUCCGGAAUUAUUGGGCGUAAAGGGCAUCUAGGCGGUCAAUCAAGUCGAAGGUGAAAACUUGUGGCUCAACCAUAAGCUUGCCUACGAAACUGAUUAACUAGAGUACUGGAGAGGUGGACGGAACUACACGAGUAGAGGUGAAAUUCGUAGAUAUGUGUAGGAAUGCCGAUGAUGAAGAUAGUUCACUGGACAGAAACUGACGCUGAAGUGCGAAAGCUAGGGGAGCAAACAGGAUUAGAUACCCUGGUAGUCCUAGCUGUAAACGAUGAUCACUGGGUGUGGGCAGGAAGACUGUCUGUGCCGAAGCUAACGCGAUAAGUGAUCCGCCUGGGAGACCCCCAC
rnacentral:rRNA from 1 species